GACGAACGCUGGCGGCGUGCUUAACACAUGCAAGUCGAACGGAAAGGCCCUGCUUUUGUGGGGUGCUCGAGUGGCGAACGGGUGAGUAACACGUGAGUAACCUGCCCUUGACUUUGGGAUAACUUCAGGAAACUGGGGCUACUACCGGAUAGGAGCUUCUGCUGCAUGGUGGGGUUGGCAAGUUUCGGCGGUUGGGGAUGGACUCGCGGCUUAUCAGCUUAUUGGUGGGGUAGUGGCUUACCAAGGCUUUGCCGGGUAGCCGGCCUGAGAGGGUGACCGGCCACAUUGGGACUGAGAGAGGGCCCAGAGGCCAACGGGAGGCAGCGGUGGGGAGUAUUGCACAAUGCGCGGAAGCAUGUUGCAGAAACGCCGCGUUCGUGAUGACGGCCUUCGGGUUAUAAACCGCUUUCGCCUGAGACGAAGCGGGAGUGACGGUAAUGGGUAAAGAAGCACCGGCUAACUACGUG
rnacentral:rRNA from 1 species